CCAGUCCAGGCCCUUCAACUGUCCCUUCUGUGACAUACUUUGUGGGGUCACUGAAUACAGCCCCACUGGACUGUGAUGUCAGAGAUGCCCCUGGGGUUGUGCAAAGCUGUGGCCUCCUCCUGUGGCCCCUGCUCUCUCUGGAUAUGCCCCUCCCUACCUUCGUGCCUCUUGAGAUGUGCAGUCUAGAAUUCUGCACAGAGAGGGGCAACCCCAUCUCCUACAUUUGAGACAUGUGUGGUCCAACAGCAGUAUAAGGAGGAAAGAAUGUCAAGGGCUGGGGCUUCUGGCUGUCAGGAGAUCUGGGUUCCAGUCUUGGCUGUAUCACCAGCUCACUUGAUAUGUGACCGUGGACAAGUCACUGCCCCUCUCUGAGCCUCAGUCUUCUCAUCCGACAAGUAUGAGAUAAGAGGAAGAAUCAUGUGCUCUAUGCCAGGAAGCCUCCAGGCAUGUGGGAUCUUAAUUCUCUGACCAGGGAUCAAACCUGCACCCUCUGCACUGGAAGGAGAAGUCUUAACAACUGGAGCUCCUGGGAAGUCUCAAUGUUCAGCUAAGCUGGCCUGGGGAUGGUAUAUUUCAGAACAAGGAAGCAGCCUGGACAUGACGUUUGCCAAGCAGGAAUCGCACAGCAAGCUGGACACAUAUAGAUAUCCCAAAUGGGAACAACGGUUGUGUACCCUGGGAUGACUUGAGUGUAGCUGCUUUAGUUUAUGAAUUUCACCUGUUUAAAAAAAAACAACGCUGUGAGACAGAGCUCGUACUUGUCAAAUGCCUCCUAUGUGCCGGAAACUUGUUACUAUGUCUUCACCUGUGAGAUGAGGAUGACAAUAAAAGCAACCUCUCCAGUUGAUGAAGGAUCAAAGAGAGCGAUGGACUCACUUAGCAUGGAGCUAGCCCUUGUCAGACCCUUGAUAAAUAUUAUUAUCUUUGUCAUUAUUAUCACCAUUCUCACAGUAGUUCUGUGAAGUAGAUGUUGCCAAAAUUGCCUGAUGCCCGAGGAACUGAGGCUCAGGGAGAAGCACCCAAGGUCACCACCAGGACACUAACCCAGGGCUGUUGGGCUCAGCUCUUAUGCUCUGUUCAUGCUGAGCUAUAAAGGAGAGGCCAGGAGAUAAAAUGAAGGCUCAGAAGAAGAACAUAGAAGGCAGCCAGGCCUGGGGCAAGUGUGCAUGGCAUUAGGUCCCUCUACUGGGCGAGGAGGCCUCUGAAAGGCAGGUGCAGAGAACAUGGAUAGAGUCAGCUGGCCUGCACCUACAGCCACAGUUACAGCCGCUUCAUGUAGGCCGUGCUCAGGCCCUGCAGAGCACCCAGAGGACCAGCAGAGACAAAGUUGCAAGGCAGACUGGGGCUGAACCCAAGUCCCAGGGUGCUGGACAUGGGACGGCCAGGGCACCUGAAGGGGCCAUCUCGUGGAACCUGGGUGGUGAGAGCUUAGGAAAGCUUUAUCAUUUGCAUGGACCACAUUUUUGACUUGUUCUCACUUACUCUUAUCCAAGUAUCACAUUGCAAUGAUUAAAAAGUAAAAAUUAAGGAAUUUCCCUGGUGAUCCAGUGGUUAAGACUUCUGCUACGUGGGGCAUAGGGUUUGAUCCUUCACCAGGGAAAUAAGAUCCCACAUGCUACAUGGAGCAUGGCCAAAAAAUAAGUAGGAAUUAAGGGUGUGGACUAGACACGUUUCACAAAACGUGGAUGCAGAUGAUGGCCUACCCUAUCGGCUGCCGUGUUGGCCACACUUGGCAUGGGCAGUGUGUACCACCCAUGUGACAUCACUCACCUAUGCAGGCAGCAACCAGGUGAGAGAAAACAGCUGCAGUGGGGACAGCAUCAGCUUUGGGGCUGGAAACCUCUGGCUUGGCUCUUUGCUCUGUGACCUGAGGGAAGUUACUUAACUUCUCUGAGCCUCUGCUGCCCCCUCUAAAAUAAUGCCAACUUCUUAGGAUUAAUUAAGGGUCAAGAGAGAACCAUGGAAUUAAUUAGCAUAGAGGCUACACUUGAUAAAUAAGUAAGAUAAGGAAGCACUUGAUAAUAAUGAUGGUGAUGAUGAGGGUGAUGUUUAUUAAAUACUAUUAUUGUUAUCAUACUCACAACAACCCCAAAAGGUUUCUCCAGCAGAUACUGCCCCAAUUUCCUCAGCAGAUGCCCUCAGUGUCCCCAUCUGUAAAAUGGGAAUAGCACCAAUGGCUCCAGAGUGUGGCCAUCAAGAUGAAAUGAGCAGGUGCAUACGGCCCAGUGCCUGGCACACAGGAGGCCUUCUGUUACUUAGCCUCUCCCCUCCUCCUAUUAGCUGGCACAUCAGUGGGGCUGGUUGCUGUCACUAUUCUGACUUGCUGGGAGUCUAUGGCCUUUCUUCCCAGCAUGCUUCAUUCCAGAGGGGCCUCAGUCUGAAAGUAAGGCUGGGGAGGCAGUGAUGGGCCCAGGAGACAGAGAGCAAGGCCAUGCUGAAG
ensembl:lncRNA